GCUUGCUGGGUACUCGAGUGGCGAACGGGUGAGUAACACGUGGGUGAUCUGCCCUGCACUCUGGGAUAAGCCUGGGAAACUGGGUCUAAUACCGGAUAUGACCAACUGUCGCAUGGUGGUUGGUGGAAAGCUUUUGCGGUGUGGGAUGGGCCCGCGGCCUAUCAGCUUGUUGGUGGGGUAAUGGCCUACCAAGGCGACGACGGGUAGCCGACCUGAGAGGGUGAUCGGCCACACUGGGACUGAGACACGGCCCAGACUCCUACGGGAGGCAGCAGUGGGGAAUAUUGCACAAUGGGCGCAAGCCUGAUGCAGCGACGCCGCGUGAGGGAUGACGGCCUUCGGGUUGUAAACCUCUUUCACCAGGGACGAAGCGCAAGUGACGGUACCUGGAGAAGAAGCACCGGCCAACUACGUGCCAGCAGCCGCGGUAAUACGUAGGGUGCGAGCGUUGUCCGGAAUUACUGGGCGUAAAGAGCUCGUAGGCGGUUUGUCGCGUCGUCUGUGAAAUUCUGCAACUCAAUUGCAGGCGUGCAGGCGAUACGGGCAGACUUGAGUACUACAGGGGAGACUGGAAUUCCUGGUGUAGCGGUGAAAUGCGCAGAUAUCAGGAGGAACACCGGUGGCGAAGGCGGGUCUCUGGGUAGUAACUGACGCUGAGGAGCGAAAGCGUGGGUAGCGAA
rnacentral:rRNA from 1 species